UCCUCCUUGAGGAAAUCUCUGGAGAUGUCGGACGCUCGAGCUCGUGAGCAAGAGACGGAGAUCGACAACUUACGCUCUGUUUUGGCUCGUGCUCCUGAAGAGGCGGUUGAGAGGUAUAAGGCCUCAGGUGAGUACGCAGGAGAUCUCAAGGCGGCUGUGGAUCAGUUUAAGACAUCGUCCGAUUAUGCUAAGGCUUUGAACUCAUACGGGGGGAAUGCGAUGUCUGCAUCAAUUAAACUCUCC
rnacentral:lncRNA from 1 species